AAAAUAAAUGUAAAAUCAUACCACAGGCACAAUAAACUUAAUCCUUAAAAAUUAUAUCACUAUGUACGCUCCCUCCCACAAACGGCGCCAACAGCUUUGAUGAACAGAUUUUAGUGUCCAUCGUUUAUGACAUUUGCGAUGACCCUGAUCAACUUUAUACACAGGGUGGGUCCAUUUAAGUUCCAUUAGUGAGCCAGCUGCGAAAAGGCGUGAUAUUAGACAACCCAGUGGAGUCAGCUAUAGCAUGGCAUCCUAUCAAACCUCAAUUCUUUAUGCCAACAAAUCUUAACAAUUGAGUCCAACAACCAGCAUGCUCCUUUUUAACUUUAAAGUCCUCUGGUGCUGUAAAAUUUGCCUUCUCACUGAGCUCUUCAAAUGCAUUUAGGAGAUUUUGCAGCCUUGCAACAAAUUCAAUGAGAAGCGAAGCAAAUGUUGCCAAAGACAAAGAGCUUGCACUUUCAUAUACUUUUGACUCUCGUUCAUUAGGCACGGUGUCCAUCAA
rnacentral:misc_RNA from 1 species